rnacentral:hammerhead_ribozyme from 1 species
AUCCAGUUGAUGUGUCCCGAAUAGAACGAAACGCGCGUUCUGGAU